GUUUGUAGAUUACUAACGUAGGUUGGGGAAGCAGGUGUAAAUCCUGCGCAGUGCCGCUACGGUGAUUCGUUCUUCGAACGAUAAGUCCGAUGGCCAACCCUGCAUUGUUUAUCUUUUAUCACCCUCGAGCAAGGGAAAGCCG
rnacentral:sRNA from 2 species